rnacentral:lncRNA from 1 species
GGAAAAUAUGAUUGAUGCUCAUUUAACUUGAUUCAAUUGCAUGUCUAGAUUGGUAGAUGCUUAAUAAUAGAAUUCAACGUGUGUGCAUAUAUAUCUUCUUUAUUUCAUUCAAGUAAUUUACAGGUGGUAGAUGAAGGUCGAUCGACUUUGAAGAAUUUUUUAGGUAAAGGUUAGGUUUAAUUGUAUUAUUACACCUUAUCCGUAUAAAUUUGUAGCAUCUUAAUCUUUCCAGCUACCAACAUGAAACUUUGUUCGAAUAUUCGGUAAAUCUUUUUAGCUAUCAACGUAGAACUUUAUUCAAACAUUUAGUAAAUCUUUUUAGCUAUCAAUGUGAAACUUUGUUCGAACAUCCAUUAGCAAGAACUUUCUCCAAUUCCUCAGCACGAAAAGUAAUAGAACAAACACAAAUAACAUUUGUAAAAUAAUUUAGACACAUCACACACAACUUUAGUUUCAGGUACUAUUCUAGUAUUUUCUUUGUAACAACUUGUAAGCACUAGUGGCAAGUUCGCACAAUUAUCCCCAAACAACCUUACACCUUAUACAUAUAAAUUUGUAGCAUCUUAAUCUUUUCAGCUAUCAACAUGAAACUUUGUUCGAAUAUCCAGUAAAUCAUUCCAGCUACCAACGUGAAACUUUAUUCGAACAUCCAGUAGCAAGAACCUUCUCCAAUUCCUUGGCACGACAAGGAAAUUCAAGAACACCUUCAUACCUAAAUCCAUAUUCAUCUUCAGCUUUCUUCAAUAAUUCNNNNN